rnacentral:misc_RNA from 1 species
AUUGACCCCACAUGUACAAUCUGUUGACAACGACUCUUCCAUCUGGGUGUUGUCUCCAUAAUAGACUGUUUGUUUCCAAGUUAAUGUCCAGAAAGCCUUCUACAUAUCCAAUAGUUCAAUUACCCCUUCUAUCUCCCAGUCAUUUAACAACAUUCUAAAUACCAAAUUCCACCCUUGUUGAGACCACAACUCACUGAUUUUGUUAUCGGGAUGCACAUUGAUAGAAUGAAGUCCAUGAAACAAACUUUGAAGAGAUCCUUGACCAGUCCAGUCAUUUUUUCAGAAUAAAACCUUAUCUCCCCUCCCAACUUUAACUUUUGUAUCAACUUCUAGAGCCGGCUAAAAGCUUCUGAUAGUCCUCCAAAUUCCAAAUCCAUAAGUGGUUGUUACUUCACCUGAACACCAUUCCCCUUCUUAGCUGAAUUUGUGUUGCA